GUGACACCACACGGGAGCGCGCAACGGGCGCGCUGAGAGGACGGCUGGGCCGUCGACCGUACGAACCUGACCGGGUCAUGCCGGCGUAGGGAGUGAAGCGAUGACGACG
rnacentral:ncRNA from 2 species